AUCCUUUUGGUUCAUAAGCAUGACGACUAUGUGUUCAUCCCUUUGGGAGACAUGUGACUCCCACAAACCUGGGUAUAACAUCGGCACUUUACCCAUCUGACA